GUACACUCCAACAGAUAAAAGAAAUACUUCACACUUUAUGAAAUGAUGAAUUUCAUUUAUUUCUGAAAUUGAAGGACAACUUUCAUUCUCAUCUUUUAAAAUAUCAAAUCAAAUUAAAUUGAAGAGGAUUCUAUUCCCUCUAGGUUAGAUUUAAUUCAUUCAGUAGGCCAAUAAAUAUCCAGGAUUUCUAUACUCUUCAUAAAAACAGAAAAUGAAACGACCCUACUCAUCCAAAGAAAAUGGAAGGGCAUAUAUGCUGCAUUAUAUAUUUUAAUUAGAAUUAGUGGUAACCAGCCCCAUCUUGGCUUAUUUUUUAAUAAUUUUUUUACUUAUAAAAAUUGUUCUUGUCUCUUUACCCUGACAGUUUUCCAUUUGUAUGAAACGUUAAAAUGCAACUUUUAGCAUGGCAUUUCUCCUGCCAGUCCCACCUUGGAUUUCUGCCACACCUGUGCUGACCUUCCACAUAAGCGUUUAUUGGCUUCAAGCAGUUGGUUCACAGAAAUAUUUUACACGGCUCCUUAGAAGGCCCUACAGGAGUAAGGGAGCACCCAAGAUGGCCGAAUAGGAACAGCUCCAGCCUCCAGCUCCCAGCGCGAGCGACACAGAAGAUGGGUGAUUUCUGCAUUUUCAACUGAGGUACCGGGUUCAUCUCACUGGGUCGUGUCAGACAAUUGGCGCUGGACUGCGGGUACAGCCCGACCAGUGAGAGCUGAAGCAGGGCAAGGCAUCCCCUCACCUGGGAAGUACAAGGGGGAAGGGAAUCCCUUUUCCUAGUCAAAGGAAAUUGAGACACACAACACCUGGAAAAUCGGGUAACUCCCACCCUAAUACUGCGCUUUACCAAGGGUCUUAGCAAAUGGCACACCAGGAGAUUAUAUCCCACAACUGGCCCAGAGGGUCCCACGCCCAUGGAACCUCCCUCAUUGCUGGUACAGCAGUCUGAGAUCUAACUGCCAGGUGGCAGUGAGGCUGGGGGAGGGGUCCCCGCUAUUGCUGAGGCUUAAGUAGGUAAACAAAGCCACCAGAAGCUCGAAAUGGGUGGAGCCCACCACAGCUCAAGGAGGCUGGCCUGCCUCUGUAGACUCCUCCUCUGGGGACAAGGCAUAGCUAAACAAAAAGCAGCAGAAACCUCAGCAGUGGUAAAUGCCCCUGACUGACAGCUUUGAAGAGAGCAGUGGAUCUCCCAGCAUGGAGGUAGAGAUCUGAGAAUGGACAGAAUAUCUGCUCAAGUGGGUCCCUGACCCCUGAUUAACCUAACUGGGAGACAUCCAUCACUAGGUGCAGACCAACACCUCACACCUCACACCUCACACAGCGGGGUACAACCCUGAGACGAAGCUUCCAGAACAAGAAUCAGACAGCAACACUCACUGUUCAGCAAUAUUCUACCUUCUGCAGCCUCCGCUGCUGAUACCCAGGCAAACAGGGUCUGGAGUGGACCUCAAGCAAACUCCAGCAGACCUACAGCUGAGGGUCCUGAUUGAUAGAAGGAAAACUAACAAACAAAAAGGACACCCACACCAAAACCCCAUCAGUACGUCACCAUCAUCAAAC
rnacentral:lncRNA from 1 species